GCAACUCGCCUGCACGAAGUCGGAAUUGCUAGUAAUCGUAGGUCAGCAUACCACGGUGAAUACGUUCCCGGGCCUUGUACACACCGCCCGUCAAACCAUGAGAGUUGGCAACACCCGAAGUCGGUAGUCUAACCGCAAGGAGGACGCCGCCGAAGGUGGGGUUGAUGAUUAGGGUUAAGUCGUAACAAGGUAGC
rnacentral:rRNA from 1 species